UCCAUGAAGCCGGAUCAUCUCAGUGAUGUAGACUGAACUGUCUCCAGGUGACUUGAGCUCUGAGGAUAGAAUCAGAUGUGAUCAGGUGUAAAGUGACCAUCAGCUUCAGAACCGGAAGUUGCGGUCUAUUCAAUGAUGGACUGGUCAUCUCUCAGGCGACAUCUAACAACAACAACAUAAUUUUUCAGUAAGUUAAAGUGAAGUAUCUCAUCAAUCU